CACUUAAUUAUAUGAAGCAUAUAUGACAGCUGUAUGCAACACACAUGAUGGAAAAGAAAAUGUUCUAUUUCAUCUCACCAACAUAGUAGAGUACUAUAAACACAAUUAGAAUCAUAACCAACCUCUAACCCCAACCAACCUCUAACCCUGAAAUACUAGACCCUAAACCAACCCACCUCUAAAUCAUAAAUACUAACCCCUAAACCCGAAUUCAUAAACCCAAACCCAAUGUAAAAUAUCUUUUAUAAAUUAAAAUACAAAAUAUUAUAUAAUUAACUAUUCUAUUUCAUCUCACCAGCAUAGUAUAAUACUAAAACCAUCAGAAUCACAACCAACCUCCAACACUGAAAUACUAAACCCUAAACUAACCCACCUUAAAGCCAUAAAUACUAAACCCUAAACCCGAAUUCAUAAACCCAAACCCAAAUAUAAAAUAUCUUUAAUAAAUUAAAAUACAAAAAUAGUAAAAUUUAACUGUUCUAUUUCAUCUCACCAACAUAGUAUAGUACUAUAACCAUAAUCAGAAUCACAACCAACCUCCAACCUCAACCAACCUCCGACCCUGAAAUACUAGACCCUGAACAAACCCACCUGGAAGCCCUAAAUACUAAAGCCAAAACCUAAAUUCAUAAACCCAA
rnacentral:lncRNA from 1 species